GUGGGACACAGGAGCAGUUUCACCGGGAGCGAGUGAGAGCCACAACAAUCUGCUUAACCUCAAACAACACGAUAUCGGAUUUCUAGGUGGACAUGGCGUCCAGAGGUUUGGGGGAGUGAGACAAAUUCCUCAAGAAGAGUCCGGUUGAGGACACAGGACACAUCCUCUCAUGGCUGCUACAACCGGUAGCGCAUCUGGAACUCCAAGACCAAGCUGGGUGGCUUUUUCCGAUGAAGAGUCACAUGCAGAUGAGGACAGCCUCCAGCCCUCCUUUGAAAAGUCUGAGAUGGACUCCUCUUGGGAGGAAGGACCUUUUGUGUUGGCUCAGAAGCCAGAGAAUUUGACUUCCUGGGUCCAGUUUGAUGACAAACCAUGGUCACCAUCUCCUCCUCCGCCGACACAGGUAAAAGGCCCCAGACACAGUAUUUGCUCUUCGGCCAGCUUCUGGAGCAACGUCCCUCCGUCAGAAAGCAGCUGGACCACCCAAUCAGAGGAGCAGGGCUCCGUGAGCAUGGGGGCGUCUUCCUGUGACCUGCCCUCUCUUAACACGGAAGAGCGAGCCGGUCAAACACCUUCCGGCCCUCACUCUCCUGAUUCCUCUGUGUCCCAAGAAGAUGAAGGAAUGAACAUGGAGCCUUUCAACUGGACAGCCAACAACCAACACACUAAUGGCCAAUCGUAUGUCACCUCCAACCACUUUGCCAGCUGGGUCACUUUCGAUGACGAUCAGGACUCUGCGUUCCAGCCUCCAGGGAGGCCGUCAACUAUAAAACUAGACAACCUCAACAAUUCUCCACUGCAGGAUGCCAACAGAAACCUGAUUUCCUCGUCCUUUUCCAGUCAGGUGACAGAAAGACACAUCCUGGACUUGACCCCUGAUGGCACCAGUUCUGUCUUCGCUUUCGAUAACACACUGUUGAACAACAGCGGCCCUUAUGACAAGAAGAAUCCUUUCCUGGAUGAUGACUUUUCAAGCCUGCAACCCUCUUCUAUUAACCCUUUCAGUGCCUUCUUUGACACAACAGAGCAGACUGCACCCCAGGUCAUUGGUCUGUCCUCGGAGUCACCUGAUGUCUCCACAUUUAGGUCGCCGUUUUUUGCGUUUCAGGACUGUGAUGUCAGAAGAGAAUCUAAUUUGCUUGCGCACAAGGGAAUAGAUACUGAAGACGGUCUAGAUCAACUAAGGAAAAUAUACAUCUCUGACCCAGACCGUGAUGGCAGUCCUACCCUACCGGACGAUUCUGUGGAGGCGGAGGAUUCAGUUGACUCCACCUACGAACCAGACCAGAUGAUUUCUCAGGAAGGCUGGCCCAUGCUUCUGCGCAUCCCUGAGAAGAAAAACAUCAUGUCGUCACGUCACUGGGGACCCAUUUUUGUCAGAUUGACGAACAGCAGCCAGCUGCAACUUUUCUACGAGAAAGGCCUGGAAAAGCCCUUCAAAGAGUUCCAGCUGAACUCCCAGCAUGAGAUAUCCGAACCCAAGCUCCAGAACUACGACGACAACGGCCGUGUUCAUACUCUUAGCGUAGACCACGUGGCUUACAAGGAGAAGAGGAAGAUCCAGCCCAAGGUCAGCGUGGUUCAUAUGCCGGUGAGAGACCAAGUCGUAAAGCUUGGGACAACAAACUACCGUGACUUCUUGAGCUUCCGUCAUGCCCUCCAGGAGACGCUUGGGAGCCUCUCUGUGGAUAAAGAAGGACUGAGUUGGCCUUCAACAUACACUGAGGAGGAGAUCUAUGUGGAGGUGAGAGAUAGCUUCUAUGGAGUUCUGGCCAAAGGUGACAGUCGUAUCUUGGAGCAGCUUGUUUUGACCCGUGUCAACAUGUUAGCCUUCCUCAACGCCUCUCCACCUUGCAGUAUCGGUCUCAAUGAUGUCCAGGUCAAAGGUAAAGAAGUCGUUUCCCGGCACGACAUCAUUCCUAACACGACGUCACGUUGGAUUCAACUGCGUGAUUGUCGACUUCACGAAUGCUCGGAUCACUCGGAAUUUGCAGAGUCCCGAGCCAUUACGUUUAGCCCCCCUACCGGCCGUCGCUUUGAGCUUCUGCGUUUUUGCACGGCGUUCGCAGAAAAAACCCUCCCGUUCACUCUCAGAACUGUUGCUAACAUCAGGGGUGCCGAGGUUGAGGUUCAGUCCUGGUUAGUGAUGUCGACGGGUUUCUCAUCCAAUCGGGAUCCUUUAACAUUGAUACCGUGCGAGAAUGUCGCUAUCCGUUACCCCAUACCUGAAAUUUGGGCGAAGAACUUUAGACGGGAGAGCGUGACGGGUGAAAAGUCACUGAAGGCUCGUUUCAAUAAAGGAGCCAGCUUUGGUUCAACCAGUGCUUCGGGGGCGGAACCGGCUAUGAGGGUCACCCUCGGCACGGCGAAAUACGAGCAAGCCUUCAAGUCUGUGGUGUGGAGGAUUAGUCGACUACCAGACAAGAACUCAGCACUUGGGCAUCCUCAUACUUUCUUCUGCCGGUUGGAACUGGGAUCAGACUGGGAGGUUCCACCUAAAUUUGAAUGUCUGGUGGAGGUUGAGUUUGAUAUGCCGUCUGCUUCGGCAUCUAAAGCCACUGUGCGCUCUCUGUCUGUGGGAGACAAGACUGACUUGAAGAAAUGGAUCACUUACAAAUCACAUUAUUCCUAUCAGGUGGCAGUGGAGUAUAAGAAUGAGAGCGUGUUGGACAGCCAUCAGGACGAGACACCCGGGGAGUGUACUCAACACUCAAAAGUUCUAGUAAAGGCCUUGACAUUGGGAGCGACACCAUAGGUGUCAUCAUGAUUUUCUGGGAGUCGUGUGCCAGCCUUGCAACUGAGAUGGAAUGUGAAGCAACCGCUUUCUUCAGUAUUGCUGACAAGCAUCCGAGAUGAACUGCUCGUUGAUUGAGAAUGCCCAGUGCUGUCAUCAAGGCAAGGGAAAUGCAACCAAGGAUUGUCUUCAGUUACAGCUGGGCAAGCGUGCAGAGAACCCACAAGCUUUACAUCUAAUCUAUGCACAUUCAACUAACUGUUCACUCAGCGAAACCCACUGCUGACCGAUUUGACACGUCUGUAUUACAUUUUCAGUCAAAUCAUUUAGUCUGCAGGUCGCAUUGUAUGUGCUGUUACAUAAACAUGCACUGUUAGAUUUUGUGGUGUGAGAGUGUAGUCGGCUAAUCCUAUUCUGUGUAUCAGGAUGAGCAGGGUGAAAGUAAGUUCAACCUUUCACAAGCAACUAAAUAUAUAAUCAGAAAGAAAAUACAUAUGCGACUCAUUUUGAGUGGUUGCUGGUGAGAGUGCCCAAAACAUCGUGCUUAAAAUGAUUGGAAAGUUGGUACGAUCAAUGCAUACUGAUAGCACCCUAAGCUCAGUAGUUCACAGUCUGGAUGCACUUCUUGAAAAAGCAUAAACCUCUUUUUAGUCCAAGAAAGACCGACGUAGGCCAAAAAGAGUUCAUUUAGAACGAGCCACCAGCUCAUCGCAGAGGUAGUAAUUGAAUUUUUGGCUAUAUUCCUGUUUGUUGUGGAUGAAGACGUCGCCAGCCAAGUUUGCAUUCUCAUUGUCCGUUGGCUUAAUUCCUGCUUGUACACACUGUGCAGAUGGGAAUAAAUAUUUGCAAGGAACAUAUAAAACAGAUGAGACCGUUUACAAUUCUGAGCCACAACAAUAAUACAAGCAAUCCAUCCACUUGGACUCAUUGAAUGACUAAAACGAAUGAGGAUGAUAUCAACCAGUGUAGCGUGGAGAUCAUAGCAUGCGUGUUUUACGGUUUCCGCGGAAUAAAAGACACCAGUAGUUUAUAUAACAUUUCUAAGCUGAUUCAACAGGACAGAAUGUAACAUUUGACUCGAAUAUGUUUCUAUCUGCCAAAACAAUCUGAAAUCUGAGGGCAUGAAUAUUACGUUCUUCAAUUCUUCAGGACGCUAUAUUGAUGUUGUAUCAAAGGGGUUGUUUUAUGCAACGGGUGAUAAACAGAGAUCUGUUUUGGGAUAUUGUAACGUUUGUUAUGGUUUUGGCAACCUGAAAGAAUGCAGCCACACCUUUGGUUUAUAUUCCAACCACGAUGAUAAAUUAUACAUAUCAAACAAUCGUUACGGCUCAUUUGGAUCAAAAGCUAUAUGGCACUGGGCCGUCAGAAUGGUUAAGAUUAUAAAAUGACCAGGAAGAAACGAUGGAGAAGGAUGCUUUCUAACAAUAAUUUUCUUUUUGCAAACGUUUAAUUUACAGGAGAUUUCUCUUGUCAUAACAGACAAACUGGAUCGAAUCGAAUAUUGAAUUUGUCAGAAUAUUGUCUUUUACUACAGAACCUUCAAGUCAAAGUGUGAAUUGAUGUGUUUGAAAGAUAUUAGGAAGGAAGCAACUUGUUUACACCAUCAGAAAAAAAUUUAGUCUGUCUUUUUGUGAUGUACCUUAUGAUGUUCUAAUGUGUACCUUUAGGCUUAGAUAAGAGAUAAACGUAUUUUUCAUUGUGUGUUAACUAAUAGAACCUUAUUGUAAGGCUUAGGCGUGACAGUGUUUUUGGCGUGGAAGGCGUAAUCGUUCCUAUGUGAAAUCAUGUGAUACAUUGUAACAAUGAUAAAAGCUCUAUAAACAAGGCUUAAGCAGGAAAUAAUUGAUUCGCUGAAUAAAUAAAAACCGCUGUCUGAAAACAAUCUUCAAAAGUGAAUCGUUAUUCUGCUCUGGCAAGGAUCUUUUGCCAGUAUACAUGUUUAUAUCACUGUAAACAUAAAUUGCA